rnacentral:lncRNA from 1 species
AAAUGAGGCAAAAAUAUAGAUGCCAAGAGCCCUUGUGAGUAAGGGGUACAGCUAAGGAGUCAUAGUAAAUGGGCAAAUUCCCCAAAAUAUUUUCACUGUAGCCUAUACAGAACCACUAUCAAAAUUAGAAAUUGCCCUAUGAGUGGUGAUAAAGAGCGGGGAGAAUAAGAGAGAAGAGACAGGUGGGCCCAGGGAGCUGAGUGAAAGCAAGGAGCCCCCGCUAGUCAACAGGGGGAUAGGUUGGUAGCUUGGCUCCCUGGAUCUGAUUUUUAGGCUCUAAUCCCAAGGGCCUGGAAAGGCCAAAUAUUCCCAAGACCGAUUUCCUGGCUGCCUCUAAGCUUCUCAUGCCAGCAGAGGGGAGAAAAUCAAAUGGACUGGUGCCAUUUUGCAGAAAGAAGCUGGCUGGCUCUGGAAUGGGCUGGCGUUAUUCAGACCUCACCCGACUAACAUGAAACUGUCAACAGUGGGGGAGGGUAGAAAUGAGAGAGAGAGAGAGAGAGAGAGAGAGAGAGAGAGAGAGAGAACCAUAAGAGGCCUGAAACUCUUAAGGACAGAAUCAGCUAUAGAAUAAUCAUCCUGGGCAGUGAACUCCCUUCCGCGGGGUGAGCUCUGAAGCUCCGAGAGAGCAGGGAUCUGGUCCUGUUCAUGAUUUUGUAAAUAACAACUUAUCAAGUGCCUGUUGAGGUCAGAAGAUAUAACAGUGAAUAAGACCUAGCCUCUGCCAUCAUGGAACAGAGUCUAGUGGGGGAGACAGAACACAAUCCUGCCAUUACAGGACAAUGUGGUUGGUGGAUGCUCCAAGAGAGGCAUUGGUGCCAAGGAGGCACAUGGAUGUGGUACCAACCCAUGGAUGCCAGAGAAGGCUUCCUGGAGGAGGUGAUACUUAAGUUGGGACAAAAUGAAUAGGAUUUGCCAAGUGGAUGAAGGUCAUGGUAGGGAGAAGUGUGGGGAAUAGGAUUUCAGGCAGAGGGAAUGGUAUUUACAGAAGCCUACAGAUGAAAAGGGUGUGGUGUGUUGUCCAGGAACUACAAGUUGUUCAAAAGUCUGGAGCAUUGACCGCUGGGACUUGGUGGUUGUGUUGUGCAAAUUGUGCUAUUCUGUCUUUGGUUUGUGGAUGGGAACCUGUUUCCCACGAGUGGAAGGCAUCCCCGAAUAUCACGGGCUUUGACUUCUAUGAGAGCAGGGCACGAAGGAGUCACAACGUCUCUGUUAACCUCUUCAGGCUUGGUUGUCUCCUCUGUAAACCAGCUGGGACAAGGAAUGUGAAAGCAAUUUGCAGGUAGAAGAGGGUGUCAUACUUCUCUUGGGUUCUGCUGUAGCUCUGUGUUUGAGGCUGUACUAUCAACACUCUUUGGAUUAUUGAAUUGUUGAUUUGACCAGAGUUGCUUUCCAGAGCUGCACCCCAACGUCCUGCCCUGUAUGUAGAUGGCCUGCCCCACCAGUGCCCCGAUGGUGAUAAUUCCUUGGCCUCCUGUCCAUCCCCACACCCUGCCAAAAAAUACUUCUGACACUUCUGAAAGCCUAGGUACACUGGAGCAGGCUUUCUUUGGGCUUGGGAAUGUUCCCAUUGUGACAUCUGUGGCUCCAUGGAUGGCCAGGGUGGAUUGCUAGGCAGGUGUCCCCUCUCUGUCAUACUGUUUUGUUCACGCCACCUCUUAAGCUGCAGCACAAGUGUAGAAGGAGCCAAGGUGGAAGAAGACAACCUUCUCACCUAGAAGAGGUGUAGUCUUCAGUGGAGGCUGCCUGAGUAGUUGGGUUCCUUGCAAGAAUCCCAUAAUCUGCCUGGGCCCCAGUUUCUUUAUUCAUAACACGUAGAGAUUAGACAGAUGCUCUUUGACUUCUUUGCCCACAUGCUGCCUAAGAGUCCUGGCAGAGGUGGCGGCACGGGCAUUAGGAGGGGGUACAUGGGUAGAAUGAGCUGACGGGGAGGCUAUGGGCAGGCCAGGGCAGAAAAUUCAAGUCACUAGGACCCAGCUAAUUGAGGGAACUGGGCAAGCUGGCUGCCCCUUUUAGUGGGGCCUGAGCUCUCCAGCUUCCACAGUCACCUCCACAGUCCUCCCAUGGCUCCUUUGUUCCAUUGGCCCCUAUGAUCGAGGGCAUACAAUGAACUCUCCAGCCUUAAUUCCCUCCCUGAUACCCUUGACAUUCCCUCUCCCAACUUACCCAUGACCUGACUCAGGGACCUCUUCCACCCUCUCUGAGUCAUCAUGGUUGCCUACAUCUGUUGAGUAAUUUACAUUUGCGGUGUCUGGUCCUGUACUCAUAUUUUCCACACUUUAUCUCAUGAAAUCCUUAUGAAAUACCAUCUGAAGCAGGUUCUGCCUGGAACGUGCUUCUCCUCGUCUUCAUGUGGCUGGUUUGUUCCCACCAUUCAUGCAUCAGCUCAAUUAUUUCUUCUAACGUUUCACCGCCACCUCCCCCC